CAGAGAGCAUGCCCUUCGGGUAUAUCUCCCACCCUUGUUUACAAUUCCAUUGUUGCUUUGGCAGGCCCGUCAUUAGACCACUGGCUCCUGCUGGUCAGUGCCUGCCAGAGGACCCUAAAACACUUGUAAUUUGUUGUCUGAAUACUCUAAUCAUUA
rnacentral:misc_RNA from 1 species